rnacentral:rRNA from 1 species
CAGUAGCCGCGGUAAUACGUAGGGUGCAAGCGUUAAUCGGAAUUACUGGGCGUAAAGCGUGCGCAGGCGGUUAUAUAAGACAGAUGUGAAAUCCCCGGGCUCAACCUGGGAACUGCAUUUGUGACUGUAUAGCUAGAGUACGGCAGAGGGGGAUGGAAUUCCGCGUGUAGCAGUGAAAUGCGUAGAUAUGCGGAGGAACACCGAUGGCGAAGGCAAUCCCCUGGGCCUGUACUGACGCUCAUGCACGAAAGCGUGGGGAGCAAACAGGAUUAGAGACCCGAGUAGUCACUGUCUCUUAUAC